rnacentral:lncRNA from 13 species
AUGGCCCAGAGUCCCAUGCCUCCUGCUGAUCCUGCUGCUCCUACUACACACCUGCUUACCUCAACCAGGCCCUCCAUCUCCUCCCUCCGCUCCCCAGUGUCACAUUCCCUAUACGGAGGGACGACAGGCAGAUAUCCACUGUUUCUGGGAUCCAGGACAGAACCCACAGAUCCCCACCUCCUACAGCCUGCACUGGAAUUCUACAGAGGGGUAAAGACAUGUCUACUAUAGCCUGUAUACAUCCCAUCUUAAUACAGUAUAUACAGGACAUCUAUAAUCAUCUUCACAAAUGACCCAGACAUAGGCUAUCAUAACUAUCAUAUACUGUUCCUACACAGAUGCAAGAAUAGCUGUUUAUUCGCUGUGUUUGGAAACCCGCGGUGACUCGUGGUGUUUAGAAACCGAUGGGUUAAUGCUGCGUUUGUAACCAAGCAGGAAGUGGGAAUUUACCACCAAAAUGUUAGAAAGAGGACUCUAUAUGGAUAAAACCCAUUUGGCAUGGACAUUGUCAUCAAAGGAUUCACCCUUUUAAAGUAGUCAACUGGGUGGGACUUCCUAUGGGUGAAGGAAGGAUCACAUGAUUCCAUCCAGGUCAUCAGGAGGGAUCAGCCAAUGAAUUAUACUCAUGAGUAAACAUUCCAUAACUGUAGGUGGUAGUAAAUCACCAUCCUUGGCUUUAUACCUGUUAAAACAACACACUCUAGGUGGCAGUAUGCACCCUUUCAGUUUGUUUGCCAACUCAUAGAAGUAGUAGAAGAAGAAAAUUGACUUAUUCAAACUGGAGAUGGCUCAAUGGUUCUGCCCGUGCCAGGGCCCGGCUUAUGUGCCUUACCGUACAUCCUUGUCAGUCCAAAUAAAAUAUUGAAAUAGUGAUCAUUUAUUUGACAGAGAGGCCACGGACAGAAAGACGUAUCAAUCUCAGAUAAAGCAUUCAAGCAAGCGAAUACAGAGAAUGAUAGAGAUAUUAUCUUUAUAUAUGUCCCAUUAUGGCAUCUGUGAGCGCUCGACCCGGUACUGGUACCCCGUGUAUAUAGCCAAGUUGUUGUUACUCAUUUUGUAUUUAUUAUCACUUUUAUUAUCACGUGUCAUUACUUUUCUAAGCCCUCAUUGGCAAUGUCCAUGCCAAAAACUGGUUUAAUGCAUCAAGAUUCCUAUAUCUAACCCUAUGGUGGUAAAUUCCCACUUUCCACUUGGUUACAAAUGAAGCAUAAGAGGCAGACUCUUAUGCUGCGUUCAUAACCAAGUGGGAAGUGGGAAUUUUGCUUUAUUUUCUGCUGUGCAUUCACAAUGCUAAGCUGCAACUAGGGCUGGCAUAAUUACUGUAUAACCGUGUAAUCAACAGUUAACUGUCAUAACCAUGUUGUGGAACAAACAACUGACUGAAGAUGGGACGGCUGGGCAUUCUUGUGGUUGAGUCCGUUUCUGCAGUAACAUGGACUCUUAACAGCAUGAAACUUCAUUGUUCUUUGCUGAAACAAGCAAGGUGUUGUAGCAAACNNNNNNNNNNUCAUAACUAUCAUAUACUGUUCCUACACAGAUGCAAGAAUAGCUGUUUAUUCGCUGUGUUUGGAAACCCGCGGUGACUCGUGGUGUUUAGAAACCGAUGGGUUAAUGCUGCGUUUGUAACCAAGCAGGAAGUGGGAAUUUACCACCAAAAUGUUAGAAAGAGGACUCUAUAUGGAUAAAACCCAUUUGGCAUGGACAUUGUCAUCAAAGGAUUCACCCUUUUAAAGUAGUCAACUGGGUGGGACUUCCUAUGGGUGAAGGAAGGAUC